CCUACGGGAGGCAGCAGUAGGGAAUUUUCCACAAUGGACGAAAGUCUGAUGGAGCAACGCCGCGUGAGUGAAGAAGGGUUUCGGCUCGUAAAGCUCUGUUGGUAGUGAAGAAAGAUAGAGGUAGUAACUGGCCUUUAUUUGACGGUAAUUACUUAGAAAGUCACGGCUAACUACGUGCCAGCAGCCGCGGUAAUACGUAGGUGGCAAGCGUUGUCCGGAUUUAUUGGGCGUAAAGCGAGUGCAGGCGGUUCAAUAAGUCUGAUGUGAAAGCCUUCGGCUCAACCGGAGAAUUGCAUCAGAAACUGUUAAACUGGAGGGCAGAAGAGGAGAGGGGAACUCAAGGUGUAGCGGGGAAAGGCGAAGAGAUAGGGAGGAACACCAGGGGGGAGGGCGGCUCUCGGGUCUGCAACUGACGCUGAGGCGCGAAAGCGUGGGUAGCAAACAGGAUUAGAUCCCCGAGUAGUC
rnacentral:rRNA from 1 species